rnacentral:tRNA from 5 species
GCUGGCGUAGCUCAACGGUAGAGCAGCUGAUUUGUAAUCAGCAGGUUGCGGGUUCAAUUCCCAUCGCCAGCUCCA